rnacentral:lncRNA from 1 species
UAAAAGCCCAAAUAUAUUACCAACUUUCCAACUCUGCUAGUGUUACUUCUGCACUGCUGUGAAAAUCUUGUAUACACACAGACUGCAAAUACUGUGGUAUUCUGUACAGAUGCAUUAACAAAAUUUGUGCCCAGGCUUUUGAGCUUAUAUCUAAAAAGAUGCAAACAAAAUGCUCUGAUCUAGAGUAGAGCUUUCUCUGAGAAAGCAGGGAAAUAUAAUGGAUUUGUCUGGGAUGGAGUUAACUGUGAUAGUACAGCCCGGAUAGCUCUGUAUUUUGGAUUUGUGUCUAAAAAGGUGUUGGUAAUGUGCUAAUGUUUUGGUUACUGCUGAGCAGUGCUUGGCGCACAGUAGCUCUUUCUGCUGCCUCGUCCCUUUGGUGAGUAGGCUGGGAACAGUGAAGAAAUGGAGAGAAGACAUACAUAGUCAGGACAACUGGCCCAAACUGGCCAAAGAGAUAUUCCGUGUCAUUAUCAUGUCAUGCUCUGCAGUAAAAUCCAAGGUAGACAAAGAAGGGGAAAGGUGGGAUCUUCCCAGGUGACUGGGGUCUGGAAGCUCACUGAGCAUCAGUCUGCCUGGAGGUUGGUGAGUGAUUUCCUUUGCUGCACUUUUUUUUUCCAGAAGAUACCUCAGAGUGGCCUGUGAAAACACCUCAUCUCAUGGUCCUUGUCACAUGGAGAAUCUGAAGGACUGCUCUCGUUCCCAAACGAGAGGGUGAGAAAAUCAUUCUACGGUACAUAGGCAGGAAUGCAUAUACUGUGACAAUAAAUGUUUUUGAUAGAAAG